GACGAACGCUGGCGGCGUGCUUAACACAUGCAAGUCGAACGGAAAGGCCCUGCUUUUGUGUGUUGCUCGAGUGGCGAACGGGUGAGUAACACGUGAGUAUCCUGCCCUUGUCUUUGGGAUAACUUCAGGAAACUGCGGCUCAUACCGCAUAUGAGCUCCUGCUGCACGGUGGUGGUUGGAAAGUUUCGGCGGUUGGGGAUGUACUCGCGGCUUAUCCGCUUGUUGGGGUGGUAGUGGCUUACCAAGGCUUUGACGGCUAGCCGGCCUGAGAGGGUGACCGGCCACAUGGGGACUGAGAGACGGACCAGACGGCUACGGGAGGCAGCAGUGGGGAAUAUUGCGCAAUGGGCGGAAGCCUGAGGCAGCAACGCCGCGGGCGGGAUGACGGCCUUCGGGUUGUAAACCGCUUUGGCCGGAGACGAAGCGUGAGUGACGGUAAUGGGUAAAGAAGCAACGGCUAACUACGUG
rnacentral:rRNA from 1 species